rnacentral:rRNA from 1 species
UACGGAGGCCCCAAGCGUUGUUCGGAUUUACUGGGCGUAAAGCGUGCGUAGGCGGCAAGAUAAGUUUGGCGUGAAAUCCCCGGGCCCAACCCGGAAAUUGCGCUGGAAACUAUCUAGCUAGAGGUGUGGAGGGGAGUAUGGAAUUCCCGGUGUAGCAGUGAAAUGCGUAGAUAUCGGGAGGAACACCAGUGGCGAAGGCGAUACUCUGGACACAUUCUGACGCUGAGGUACGAAGGCUAGGGGAGCGAAG